rnacentral:rRNA from 1 species
UCGAGCGGCAGCGCGGGGGCAACCCUGGCGGCGAGCGGCGAACGGGUGAGUAAUGCAUCGGAACGUGUCCUCUUGUGGGGGAUAACCAGUCGAAAGACUGGCUAAUACCGCAUGAGAUCGAGAGAUGAAAGCGGGGACCGCAAGGCCUCGCGCGAGAGGAGCGGCCGAUGCCGGAUUAGCUAGUUGGUGGGGUAAAAGCCUACCAAGGCGACGAUCCGUAGCUGGUCUGAGAGGACGACCAGCCACACUGGGACUGAGACACGGCCCAGACUCCUACGGGAGGCAGCAGUGGGGAAUUUUGGACAAUGGGGGCAACCCUGAUCCAGCCAUGCCGCGUGUGUGAAGAAGGCCUUCGGGUUGUAAAGCACUUUCGGCCGGAACGAAAUCGCGCGAUCUAAUAAGUCGCGUGGAUGACGGUACCGGAAGAAGAAGCACCGGCUAACUACGUGCCAGCAGCCGCGGUAAUACGUAGGGUGCGAGCGUUA